rnacentral:rRNA from 1 species
GAUGAACGCUGGCGGCGUGCCUAAUACAUGCAAGUCGAGCGAACGGACGAGAAGCUUGCUUCUCUGAUGUUAGCGGCGGACGGGUGAGUAACACGUGGAUAACCUACCUAUAAGACUGGGAUAACUUCGGGAAACCGGAGCUAAUACCGGAUGAUAUUUUGAACCGCAUGGUUCAAAAGUGAAAGACGGUCUUGCUGUCACUUAUAGAUGGAUCCGCGCUGCAUUAGCUAGUUGGUAAGGUAACGGCUUACCAAGGCAACGAUGCAUAGCCGACCUGAGAGGGUGAUAGGCGACAUUGGAACUGAGACACCGACCAGACUACUAAGGGACGCAGCAGUAGGGAAUCUGACGCAGUGGGCGAAAGCCUGACGGAGCAACGGGAAGCGAGAGAUGACGGUCCUCGGAGCGGAAAACCCUCUUACUAGGGAAGAACAUCUGUGUAAGUAAACGUGCAGAUAUUGACGGUAACGAAUAAGAAAGCACCGGCUAACUACGUG